rnacentral:rRNA from 1 species
AACGAACGCUGGCGGCAGGCUUAACACAUGCAAGUCGAGCGCCCCGCAAGGGGAGCGGCAGACGGGUGAGUAACGCGUGGGAAUCUACCCAUCUCUACGGAAUAACGCAUGGAAACGUGUGCUAAUACCGUAUACGUCCUUCGGGAGAAAGAUUUAUCGGAGAUGGAUGAGCCCGCGUUGGAUUAGCUAGUUGGUGGGGUAAAGGCCUACCAAGGCGACGAACCAUAGCUGGUCUGAGAGGAUGAUCAGCCACACUGGGACUGAGACACGGCCCAGACUCCUGCGGGAGGCAGCAGUGGGGAAUAUUGGACAAUGGGCGCAAGCCUGAUCCAGCCAUGCCGCGUGAGUGAUGAAGGCCCUAGGGUUGUAAAGCUCUUUCACCGGUGAAGAUGAUGACGGUAACCGGAGAAGAAGCCCCGGCUAACUUCGUGCCAGCCGCCGCCGUAAGAC